AGAGUUUGAUUCUGGCUCAGAACGAACGCUGGCGGCGUGGAUAAGACAUGCAAGUCGAACGAGAGAAUUGCUAGCUUGCUAAUAAUUCUCUAGUGGCGCACGGGUGAGUAACACGUGAGUAACCUGCCCCCGAGAGCGGGAUAGCCCUGGGAAACUGGGAUUAAUACCGCAUAGUAUCGAAAGAUUAAAGCAGCAAUGCGCUUGGGGAUGGGCUCGCGGCCUAUUAGUUAGUUGGUGAGGUAACGGCUCACCAAGGCGAUGACGGGUAGCCGGUCUGAGAGGAUGUCCGGCCACACUGGAACUGAGACACGGUCCAGACACCUACGGGUGGCAGCAGUCGAGAAUCAUUCACAAUGGGGGAAACCCUGAUGGUGUGACGCCGCGUGGGGGAAUGAAGGUCUUCGGAUUGUAAACCCCUGUCAUGUGGGAGCAAAUUAAAAAGAUAGUACCACAAGAGGAAGAGACGGCUAACUCUGUGCCAGCAGCCGCGGUAAUACAGAGGUCUCAAGCGUUGUUCGGAAUCACUGGGCGUAAAGCGUGCGUAGGCUGUUUCGUAAGUCGUGUGUGAAAGGCGCGGGCUCAACCCGCGGACGGCACAUGAUACUGCGAGACUAGAGUAAUGGAGGGGGAACCGGAAUUCUCGGUGUAGCAGUGAAAUGCGUAGAUAUCGAGAGGAACACUCGUGGCGAAGGCGGGUUCCUGGACAUUAACUGACGCUGAGGCACGAAGGCCAGGGGAGCGAAAGGGAUUAGAUACCCCUGUAGUCCUGGCAGUAAACGGUGCAC
rnacentral:rRNA from 1 species